AAGACUUUAGAUAUGAUCCAGAGUACCACGGGACACGUGAAACCCUGUGGGAAGCAGGAGGGACCACCCUCCAAGGCUAAAUACUACCUAGUGACCGAUAGCGUAUAGUACCGUGAGGGAAAGGUGAAAAGAACCCCGGGAGGGGAGUGAAAUAGAACCUGAAACCCUGCACUUACAAGCUGUGGAAGCACAUUUCUUGUGUGACCGCGUACUUUUUGUAGAACGGGCCAACGAGUUACGUUAAGUAGCAAGGUUAAGCACUUAAGGUGCGGAGCCGUAGCGAAAGCGAGUUUUAACUGAGCGUUCAGUUACUUGACGUAGACCCGAAACCGGGCGACCUACCCAUGAGCAGGAUGAAGCGAAAGGAAAAUUUCGUGGAGGUCCGAACCCACGAGCGUUGAAAAGCUCGGGGAUGACUUGUGGGUAGCGGUGAAAUUCCAAUCGAGCCCGGAGAUAGCUGGUUCUCCCCGAAAUAGCUUUAGGGCUAGCCUCAAGGUGAGAGAUACGGAGGUAGAGCACUGAAUGUCCUAGGGG
rnacentral:rRNA from 1 species